rnacentral:rRNA from 1 species
AGCGAACGCUGGCGGCAGGCCUAACACAUGCAAGUCGAACGAACCUUUCGGGGUUAGUGGCGGACGGGUGAGUAACACGUGGGAACGUGCCUUUAGGUUCGGAAUAACUCAGGGAAACUUGUGCUAAUACCGAAUGUGCCCUUCGGGGGAAAGAUUAAUCGCCUUUAGAGCGGCCCGCGUUUGAUUAGCUAGUUGGUUGAGGUAAUGGCUCACCAAGGCGACGAUCAGUAGCUGGUCUGAGAGGAUGAUCAGCCACAUUGGGACUGAGACACGUCCCAAACUCCUACGGGAGGCAGCAGUGGGGAAUCUUGCGCAAUGGGCGAAAGCCUGACGCAGCCAUGCCGCGUGAAUGAUGAAGGUCUUAGGAUUGUAAAAUUCUUUCACCGGGGACGAUAAUGACGGUACCCGGAGAAGAAGCCCCGGCUAACUUCGUG